AUUUUCUAGCCAUGAAUGAGUCAUUAGUAUUGAAUGUUACGAAUACAGCAGUCAAUAAUGUUAUAUUACCCUGCAGACCAACCUCUCCUGAAGUACAAGUUGAGUUGAAUGAAGAAGGGAAUUCAAUCAAAACAUCAUACGAGUAUGACUCAAAAGUUGGAUACCACGUGACCAAAUUAAUCGAUAAAUCUACCAAUUUCACUUGCUCAGCUAGGUACCGCAAUUCAGAUUGGAAACAUUAUAAAAUUCAAGUGGUGGUUCAUCUUGCAGGAAAAAAUCAGAUAGACCCAGAUAAACCCCAUGAAAAAUCAAAUUCCGGAUUUUUAGCUGUAGUAAAAGAAUACACGUAUGAUUUCGAUGUAGGUGUAGCUAUUUUCCUCGUGAUAUUACCCUUAUCGAUAUCUAUAUACUUGACGAAGUUGACGAUGCGUAAAAGAAG